UCCUUUGAUUGACGUCCCCGCCAGUCCAAUCAGCGGUGCGCACCGGCCGGUUCCCACCUCAACGUGUGCCCAGAUUCCGUCUCGAGGCGGAAGGAUGGGCGGGGUUGAGGUUUGGUCGAGCGGGAGUUCCACAGUUGCAGAGAGAUUGUUGCAGGAGGUGGGGUUCCAUUCUUUGAGCUUCUCUUGAUGCUGCGAGCAAUACGCAGGUUUGAUUAAAAAGGCCGAGUCACUUUGGUGUUGCUGAAGGUGAGCAGCUAUUUUACGGCGCUUCUGGUUGAGCAUCUCCUGCGUUCACUGCGGUUGCUGCUGUCACUCUAUCUGGACACGGAUCUGAACUGGACUCCUGGAACAUUGCGCAAAUGGCAUAAAAAAUAAACGAAAAAUAAUUGUUUUUCUAUCAA